rnacentral:rRNA from 1 species
GACGAACGCUGGCGGCGUGCUUAACACAUGCAAGUCGAACGGAAAGGCCUGCUUUCCCUUGUGGAUUGCGGGUACUCGAGUGGCGAACGGGUGAGUAACACGUGAGUGAUCUGCCCCCAACUUGGGUAUAAGCCUGGGAAACUGGGUCUAAUUCCCGAUAGGACUGCAGGGUGGUGCCUGUGGUGGAAAACGAUUUUCUAGUGGUUGGGGAUGAGCUCGCGGCCUAUCAGCUUGUUGGUGGGGUAAUGGCCUACCAAGGCGGCGACGGGUAGCCGGCCUGGGAGGGUGGACGGCCACAUUGGGACUGAGAUACGGCCCAGACUCCUACGGGAGGCAGCAGUGGGGAAUAUUGCACAAUGAGCGGAAGCCUGAUGCAGCGACGCCGCGUGGGGGAUGACGGCCUUCGGGUUGUAAACUCCUUUCGACCGCGAGGAAGCCACCUGGUUGGAAGGGUGGUGACGGUAGUGGUAGAAGAAGCACCGGCUAACUACGUG